rnacentral:rRNA from 1 species
GACGGAAGGUGCAAGCGUUGCUCGGAAUCACUGGACGUAAAGGGUGCGUAGGCGGCCGUGCAAGUCUGGCGUGAAAGCCCCGGGCUCAGCCCGGGAAGUGCGCUCGAAACUGCGCGGCUCGAGUGCCGGAGGGGAGAGUGGAAUUCCUGGUGUAGCGGUGAAAUGCGUAGAUAUCAGGAGGAAUACCGGUGGCGAAAGCGACUCUCUGGACGGCAACUGACGCUGAGGCACGAAAGCGUGGGGAGCAAACAGG